UGAGGAAUAUUGGUCAAUGGACGGAAGUCUGAACCAGCCAAGUCGCGUGAAGGAUGAAGGUUAUAUGGAUUGUAAACUUCUGUUGUCUGAGGGUAAAAAAGCGGACGUGUCCGUUCUUGCAAGUAUCAGACGAAUAAGCAUCGGCUAACUCCGUGCCAGCAGCCGCGGUAAUACGGAGGAUGCGAGCGUUAUCCGGAUUUAUUGGGUUUAAAGGGUGCGUAGGCGGGUUGGUAAGUCAGUGGUGAAAUCGUGUGGCUCAACCAUACGGAGCCAUUGAAACUGGCGACCUUGAGUGCAAACGAGGUAGGCGGAAUGUAACGUGUAGCGGUGAAAUGCUUAGAUAUGUUACAGAACCCCGAUUGCGAAGGCAGCUUACCAGCAUGCAACUGACGCUGAUGCACGAAAGCGUGGGUAUCAAACAGG
rnacentral:rRNA from 2 species